rnacentral:lncRNA from 1 species
UGCCAUUUGCAAUCUCAUUCUUGCCAAUAAAACCAAAAAAGGGACCUUGAUCUGCUUCUUCAAGUUUCUUCUGCUUAAAGUAUUCUUGAAGUUCCCUAGCCUUUUGCCUUUGAAACUCCAGGGUAAUGACAUUCUUAUCUUCCACAGCAGCCACAGCCACAGGUUUGGGAGGGGAAGUAGGUGUUGGCGGAGGUGAAGCAGCAGCAGGGGAAGAAGGUGGAGGGGAUGGUGGAGUUGGUUUUACAGGUGUAGGAGGAGGAGCCACUGGUCUUCUAAUAGGCCCAUCAGCCUGAGAACUCCUUAUGGUAAAUAUUGGGGGCUUAGCUGUAGAAAAUCUGAAAGAGGAAGACAAAAAUGAAGAAGAAGAUGAGGGAGAUGAUGGAGAGGAGGUAGGUGAUGAUGGGAUUCUCAGUUUGAUGCAUGGGAAGGAUGGUGAUGAUGCCACUGACAUCUUCCUGAAUUUUUGCUUUCUGUACUUCCUGUUAUCUGUGUAAAUUCUUCUAAUAUGGUUGGAGAGGAGGGGGGGAAAAGGAUUGGGUGGUGAAUCUGUGCACGUGUUAUCAGAAUCAGUGUCUGUCCUGAAGUGGAGUUUAGUUUUGUGGAUAAAAUAUGGCCAAGUUUCUUAUGGGAGAUGGUUAGUAACUUCUCGUAUUUAGACCACUGUCCACGCGAGAGAGAGGUUGGCACAAAACUUUUGACUCUACUGACAGCCAAGAAUACAACCAAUUCUUCAACAAAGGUGUUUUGGGAAAAACCUGUAGAUUACAUGGAGCAAGUUAAAAGUUAAACCCUCAAAUGUUCAUUCUGUAGAAUUCUUGCGUGCUGUUUAAAGUUCUUAUACAUUAAAUUCCUGUAAAUUGGAGUCUUUAACUCCUAUUACAUAUUAAUAGUAUGGUUGGAGAGGAGGAGGGAAAAGGAUUGGGUGGUGAAUCAGUGCAGGUGUUAUCAGAAUCAGUCUGUCCUGAAGUGGAGUUUAGUUUUGUGGAUAAGAUAUGGCCAAGUUUCUUACAAGAGAUGGUUAGUGACUUCUUGUAUUUAGUCUGUAAAGUUAACCCCUCAAAUGUUCAUUUUGUAGAAUUCUGACGUGCUGAUUAAAGUUCUUAUACAUUAAAUUCUUGUAAAUUGGAGUCUUUUAACUCUUAUUACAUAUUAGGGAUAAUUUCAGAAACCUCCCCUGAAUUUGAAAAAUUACACAUACAUCCCUUGUCAUUUAAAAUGACAAUUUUACCCUUAAUUAUUUUAAUAAAAUUCUCUUAUUUUUCCUUUUUUUAAAAAAUUUUUUGCCAAUAAAACUGUACACCCACCGCUAUUACCUCUAGAUUUCUAUUAUAACCAAAUGUCGAACUGGUGAUUUUUUUGAUGAGUUAAUUUUAUAUGUAAUCCAAUGUUUUUACUGAUUUUUGUUUUCUAUUUUUUGGUAUUAAAAUUAACAAUAAAUAAAAAAGAAAUGGCCUAAAAGCACUACUAAAUAAUGAUAAUCCUGCUACUCCAAAAAUUUAUAAACUCUAAAUGAAUUAUUUCAACAUUUUCUUUUCCAUCUUAUAAAUCUAAAUCCAUAAUAAAAUAGCAUCAACAAUAUCAUAUCAUAGUAAUAAAAUUAUUGUUAAGUUGUGUAUCAAAUAGUAGAUAUAAACAUGAAAAGUUUGGCACCUUCUUCUUAUAAUUAUGCUAAAUAAUCUUAUAAUUGUAUAGAAAAAUAAAUUAAAACUCAUUCCAUAAGGGCAUUUUUGAGUAUUCAUUUAAAAAUUUGUCCAAGUCAAUAUUGUUUUAAAGUUUUAUUAUUAAAGCUAUCAAAUCAAGAGAGGUAAAUGUAAUUUUUCAGACCUUAAAAGAGCUCAGUGAAAUUGUCAGAAACCUCAAGGGAGGUUUUUGAAAUUAUCCCUACAUAUUAAUAAAUUCUUAUAAAUUGGAGUUUUUAGCUUCAACAGUCAUCGCGAAUUUGCUUCAGGUUCAAGGUUAGAGUUUUCUUCAAACUCAAACAGGAACUAGAUAACCUAGGCUGGGAUCUUAUCGUCACAAUCCAAAUGACCCAACAAAAAGAGUUCAAUUUCUCUUUUUCCUUUCUCGUUUGGUCCCAAAACUUGCAGCAACCAGCAGCGUGAAUGACGCUAGACAACACGAAGGGAUGCUAAAAUAGAUUCAACUAUUCGCUGAAUUGACGAGUUUAUAAUCAUAAACUCCAGUCAUCCAACUUGUUUGAAGCGCAUUUGUCCAGCAAGGGCUGGAUGAUAAAAUGCUGAUUCCAACUUUGUGACAGAAAGGUCUCACUUCAGUCCCAACUCUCAACUCCCAACUGCAGCUUUCCUGCCACAAAUAAAGGGGCGUAAACUGUUUCUUGGUGAUUGGUUCCAAAAUCUACAUUCAAGCCUCAUAUCCCAUCGUUAUAAUGAAAAUUUACAGGCUACAAGCGUCAAUGGAAAAUGUAAAUCCCAGAUACUCUCGGAAGGAAGGGGGAAAAGAGAAAUAAAGGAAAAUCUGGAGGAGGAAAAAAAUUGAUAUGAACUGAAUGAUGAUGAAACAAUGGACAGGACAAUGACCUAUAUAACAUGAAUAUCAUGGAAAUGAAGAAAUUCUCGGAGACAAAAUUGAAACUACAAGAGCUUGCAUAUGGACACCACAGACCAGUUAAGCCAACUCCAGCAUGGAAUAUCAUCUCAGCACUGACCCUGUUUACUGCGCGCCUCAAAAUUUGCUUCUCAAACACUCCAUUAACAAUUGCAGCUCAAAUGACUAAGCAGCGUCUAAUGUAAUAUCUUGGCACAAAUCAGCCCAAAAUGCUUCAGAAGAAGAAGCUCGAAACUACAUUAUCAUGCAUGAACAGUUUCUUUCGCUCCCAUUGUCAAACUCAUCAUCAGAUCCACCAUCGUCGCUGCAAUUGCAUUAAAUGCAAAAUAAAAACACUGGAGAAAUCAGAUAUGCAAAAAAACAGGAGUGUUUGAUAAGGGUUCUACAUACUCUUUGAUGAGAUUUAAGACCACAAGCAUGAAAUAAGAAGAUAAUACAUCAAACAGAAUCUGCAAUCUUCAUAGCUCAUUAUCAAAAUUAUUUAACACCUGACCAGGAACAUACUUAUCCUCACAUUAUGAGCAUUUAGCUCUAUAGUAUUAUCUCAUUCCACAGUUCCUUGUUCUAUCCUACCUUUACACCUAAAUUCAGAACAUCAACUCCUCUCAACCAGAAACAAUUUGAUCUAACAUGAAUUAUGAUAAAAUGUACAACAUAAACAACAAUUCAUAAAGGCAAAGGACUACUUAUUUCUUGAGCAAAAUUUUUCAUGAUGGAUCAAUAAGAAUGGAACUAGAUAGCAACUUAACACGUAUGAGAGUCAAGCUACCAUAAGGUCUAUCCUUCCUUUUGGCAAACCUUCUACUCACUAUCUUUAGAUGCAAAAUAUGUGUAAACACAUAGUACUUAUAUGCAUUGAUAAGAAUGAAACAAUAAGCAACAUAUCAUGUUGAACAAGAAAACAGGUCAUAUGAGUGCUUCUGAGUAUACUCUGACUACUGAAAGGAUAAGAAACACAGAUAAACUCCAGAACCUAUAUAUAGGUUUAUCACUAAUCCAUUGGCUACAGAAUCACCUAUUGGGAUGCAUUGCAUUUCUUUUUGAUUUGCUGCAUGUCAUGCAUGAGUUAUUCAUAACACCAGUUUGAAGCCUUAUCUGAACUUCUAACAGAAUAUGCUUGAACAGACAUUGGAAGUAACCAUGGCAACAGACACCUCAAAUUACUGAAAUACGAAUUGCACAGCUCAUGUACAUUCUCCAACUUAGAGGACGAACCGAAUUGUAUUGCAGUUUAAAAAUCUCAUUUGGCACACCCAUGUUCAAUAGAAUUCCUAAUGAAUUUAGAAAAAAAAACUCAGCCCAAUUUGGAAAAAUUUAACGAACUAUAGCAGUGGUCAACAUUAUAUAUAUAUAUAUAUAUAUAUAUAUAUAUAUAUAUAUAUAUAUAUAUAAAAUAGGUCAACUUGUUUCUCUUCCAGUCUGUAUGGAUAAAAGAUGGUUAACAUCUAACAAAUUCCCUUAAUUCCAGGACCAUUAAUGAAGGGUUGUUACAAACUAACAACCUCAUUGUAACUUGAGAAUUAAUGUCUGCACCAGUGAUAGUUGAUAAUGCGCAGACUAGAUAAAGCAUAGACAAAAUCUUCAGAUGAACAUAAUUAUCCGACACUAUUUGUAUCUAAUACUGCUGGUUAAUUCAAGUAAUAAUACCAUUUUUAGUAGGUUUUAACAAGAUGAAACAUAGGGUCUGUAUGAAUUGGGUGUUUUCAAAUAACAAUUCCAACCACAAAUUGAAAAAACCUCCUUUAGAUUCACAGCUCAAAGUUGCAACCAGUUAAUCACAAAAGGCCUGAAUAGCAAUAAGACAAGUUUUUAGAUUCACAUCAAUUUGUUGGUACCACAAAAGCAACCUUUAAUUAGUUUUCGUAUAAGACACAGCUAAAUUUUUCAUGGAAAUGAAUUGUCAUACCUAAGCUCAAAUUCUCGAAUUUCAACUAGCUCUCCACCAGAUGUAUCUGUCCACUGAACUUUCCUCGAUUCAGUAUGAACAACAGCAUCAGUGUCCUUUCCACACAAGGCCACACUCUCAUCACUACCAUCCUCAGCAACAGGAACACUAGUUGAUGGUUUCUUCAAGCUACUUUUAAGAGCAACCUUUGGAUCAGAAUUAUGGUCAUUAGCAUACUGAAUCUGAUCCCUACACUUCUCAGUAACAGGAGGCUGUGGCAAAACUUCUUGCUGCUGUGCUGGGCCCACUUUUAAAGGGGAUGGGCUCUCAAGUCCAGCGGCAGCGCGACCAAAGCAAACAAAGGAGGCGCACCCGCGGACAAACCGAUUCUUGCCAGAAGCCAGUUGGAGAUCAGAAUCAGUAUCUUGGUCAACCAACUGGUACUGAUUCCACGGCGUCACUCUCAUGGGCUUCUCUUCGUUUUUUUGACCCAAGAAAAGAAGGGUCAGUCCCUUGCUAUACCCAGAAGCUGAAGAAGAGAAGAACCCUCCUCCUUCCACUGCCAAUAACAUCAGUUCUUUUGCUCAUCCGGGCAUCCCAAAUUCCUUUAUGUUUUCUAAAUCAGCUUUUUCACCACCCCUUCUAUUAAAGUCGCCUAAUUCAAACCAACCCUGGCGAAGCAAAAAUCCAAGAACAAAAACAGAAAAGAAAUCAGAAGCACAAAACAAAGUAAUCAAAUUUAUUUUCACCAGAAGAAAAUUCAAAACUUCUUUAAAAAAUUGGAAAUUUGCUAUAAAAAAGAUUAGGCAUUUCGCGAAACAUCAAAUUCAAAUACUUAACUUAUCUAAGAAUCUUAUCAAAUUUAGUUUGAAAAAUUCGUAAUAAUACUCCAAAAUGCAUUCUCCUCUUAUAAAACUGAAACAAUUAAUCAGAAAAGCGCCGCCAAAUCAGCAACUAAUCAACAUUUUUACAAAAAACGUAUAAUACAAACAACAAGACAUAACUCAAAGAAACUUUCAGAUUGAACCCAAAAUUUUGAACUUGAAGCUUUUAAGCUUCUUACAUGAAAUUUAAAUCCCAAAAAAAAAAAAGAGAGAAUAUUUAUAAGUUAAAAUUAUACUUAAAAGCUUAGUGGAAUUAUGAUAGUUUACCCAAUAAGUACUUUUAGCUACUUAUUAAGCAAACUAGAACCCAGAUGACACCAGAAAGGAAAUUCAUUUCAACCCAAAAAAACGAAAAAAAAAAAAAGAAAAAGAGAAGCAAAAUGAAGCAGAUUUAUAUUACUCAUCAGUGGUGAACAACUUGAGAACAGCUUAAACUAUCCUCAUGAAAUUAAAAAUUUCAUUAUAAUUUACGCACGUGUGCAAAUUUCCAGAGAGAGAUACUUACAGAUCCAAAUUAAGAUAGAUCUCCGGCGAGGCUUCUUCACCGGACCGGCGACUCCAUUUCGUCGAUCGCCUCAGCAGCUUCAGUUGCUUUUAGUAAUUCACAGGUGGAGAAGAAAAGGAAGAUAAUUAGAAAACAAAACCAAAAAAAAACAGAGGUGAGAGAAUUUAUUGGUAAUAAAAUUGUAGAUUUCAGAAGAACUGAUUGAACCCCAAAAGAAUCCAAAAUGAGAAUGAAAAGAAUUGAGAAUCGAUUAAUUGUGACUUUUUAUUUUUUUUGGGGCUGCCUAUGUAUAUAAUAUGUAAGUAUAUCCGGAGUGACGAGAGAGGAGAGAGAGAGAGAGAGAGAGUGAAUGUGGUGAAAUUCAGGAAAAUUUAUUUAUUUAUUUAACAAUUUAAUUUUUUUUUUUUAAAGAGGGAUGGAGUGUUAACUGUUAAGUUGCAAGAGGCAGGCAAGUAGUGCCCAUGUGGCGGGCCUUACCUUUUAAUAAUUUUUUAUUUUUUAUUUUACCUGAAAAUAUGUUGUAAACAUUUUUUAAGAAGAAUUGACAAUCCAAAUCGUUGCAAUACAUUUUUUUUCUAUAAAAAUUUAAAAAAAUAACAAUCCAAACAGGCAAUUUAUGAGCGGUGGAAAAAAUAUUUUGAUUCUUUAAUAUGUGAGAUUUUAUUGUUUGGAUUGUGUUUUAUUUGGAAUAUUUUUUCUGUAGCACUUUUUGUGAUGUGAUGUGUGUGAGAUAAAAAGGUAAUUGGGAAGAUAAAAAGAUGUAUUGGAAAUUGUAAUGAUGAUGUAAGCAGAUAAAAUUGGGGAAAUAAAACACAAUCCAAACAAUUGAAAGAUUAUGGUAAUAUCAAGUCAAAUUCUAAUCUUGGGUUUAAGGAUUUUUUUUUCUUUUUUUUUUUUGUGUAGCCUUGUUUGGAUUGCAAUUUUUUUAUGAAAAAAUUUUUACAUUUUCUGUGAACAUAUUUUUCAAUCACCUUUUUAUCUCACAUAUAUUAAAUCGUUACAAUACCUUUUUUUUAUAUAAAAACUCCUAAAAAUAGCAAUCCACGUGGGGAUUAAGUGGAAAAGUUUUAAGCACGUUGUAAGAUAGACAAGUUACAUGCAAGACGCUUUACUUAGCAUUUGAGUACAGAUAUACAAAGGGGAAAAAAGGUGUAGAAAUUUGAUAAAAUUUGGUUGCAAAACUAAUGUGUUGUGAUUUAUGAAGUUGGUAAAACUAUAUUGAAGAAGAAGAGAACAGGUGAAAAACUUUGGCCAAUACACAUUUGAAGGUUGAUAUUCUAUUCUAGUAAAUCUUUUGCACCUCUCAUAUUGGUAGCUGGUUUGAAAUCCCAAUAAUCUGCCCCCUCCCCAAAUAAUCGAAGAUAUUGAUUUUAGAUUUGGGUGUUGAUUUAUUAGGCAUGGAAAGAUGAUGUUGUUCUUCUUUCUCUUGGAUUAGAAUUAAAAUCAUGUUGUUAUACACACACAUAUAUAUAUAUAAAAGCUAGAAUUCGGACCGUCGUGUAUAAAAUUUCAAAUCAAAAUAGUAAAAUUAUUGUUGUUGAAGAAAAAAAUUUAUUUGAAAAGAAAAGGCUAAAAAAUUUUUUAAAAAAAAUUGCAUCAAUUUUAGUGUCAAUCUCUGUGAAAUUGUGUAAUUUUAAAUGAAAGUAAAGGACAAAUCACGUUGUCGUGCUAUUGUUUAAGGUCUUAAUUAGUUCCAACUUCCAAUUAAGACGAGACAUGAGAAUAGGGGGUUUACCUUACUCCCCCCAUUCUUUAUAUGAGCUUACGUUUACCUUUUGGAAAAGCAAGGCAUCAAUAGGUGUAUAAUCAUAAUUAAAGUGGAAAGCUUGCUUUUGUUUGCUUGCCUAUGCCUACUUUUUACUUUAGAGAAGCAUUACGCUUUAACACUCUCAACUUUUUGUCAUUCAUCUACAUGUAUCAAUGUGCCUAACCAAUGGCAAUCAAUAGUAAUAGUGUAAUCUAAUUCCCAAGCACCAAUAAUCCAAACCCAAAUCCUCAAAUGCAAAAACAGCUGUAAGAAAAACAAGAAAAUGGACAGAUGUAAUUGCCAACAAAGAUUUAGAGAAGUAGUGGAGAGAAGAAACUUGAUUUUGACAUCCUCAUUUUGUCAAAAUUGCCCCAAUUAUUUGGCUUUUAGAUAUUUUGGUGUUAGUUUGGCAAUUUGGGAUUUACCUGAUCAUUCGUUCCUUUUUUAUCUUAUUGCAACUCUUAAAAGCUCAUAUGUCAAAUCAAAGAUAAAAUAUCAAUUCUUAAACGGAACUUGUCAAGGUUUGCGAGGAUUGAAGUUCUUUAGGGUUACCUAAUCAUCUUGAUCUUUUGAUUUGCAACUCUACAUUAUUGCAAGGCAAUAUAUAAGGGUAAAAAAAAAGGGUAAUAUAUGAGACCAAUUGUUAAAGAGCAAAUAAUAAUAUUUUCACUCCCAAAAAAAAAAAAAAAAACUCUAAGUGCUCCAAUCUUCUUUUUCACUUAAUGAAAAAACACAAAAACAUACCAAAUAAUAAUAAUCAAUUAUUUUUUAGGGUGUUUUUGAAAAAUUUUACUGUAGCAGAGUUUUUAGAGUAUAUUUUAAGAUAUUUUUAGAAAAUAUUUUGGAAUAUUUAAGAGUAGUAGAGUUUUUAAAAUAUAUUUUGGGAUAUUUUUUAAACAUUAAAAAAAUUUAGACUACUUUUUAGAGUAUUUUUUACAGUACUUUUUAAAAAAAAUUUAUAGUAUUUAAAAAACUAAUUUUUGAAAAACUGAAGGAUCCAAACAGAUAGUAUUUGAUUAGAUCAUUGAAUCAUUUAUUUCUCUUGCUUUUCUUGAAAGUUCUUCAAUAGACAUUUCUACACUUACUCAUGAUUCAACAGUUUAGUACGUACCGGCCCUUCUUGUGCCUUGUUGGUAUUAGCAUGUGUUGCAGACCGUAAGGUCAAGAGUUCGAGGGUUGGUAGAGAGAGGAAGAGAGAAGAAAAAUAAUGAGAAAAAAAAAACAGUUUAGUACGUAACUCGUUCUAAUUGUCCUUCUAUACGUGUAGUAUAUUACAAAAUGGGAUUCCAUAAAAAAAAAUAAAAAUAAAGGGUCCAUUGUCUUCUUGUUCUUGGCAAAAGCUUAUGUAAAAAUAAAUUGUCCAAAACGUGGCUAACAAAGCAAGUACAGGAUUCUCUCACGUGGGUUUAGUUGGAUUCUCAAGUCAUUUAAUUUUAAAUAUUUCUAAAUCUGAUUUUGUUGUGCAUGGAAAUAUGCCCUUAAAUAAUUAGAUACCUAUAACGCAUAGAAUUUGACAUUCUUUUUAUGAUUAGCAUCAAUUCUCCUAGAUGCAUAAAGGAGAUGCAUAAAGGAGAAAAAAGAAUGACAAAUAUUUAAUAUUUUCAAUUAUCCUAAUAUUAUUUUUCCCCUACAAAUUGGAUGAGGAACCAAGAAGACUUUGGGGAAAUUGCUCUUUCAGUCCCUUGUACUUGAAACAUAUCACAGUAUAGUACCUCACUUAUUUCACAUAUUUAGACCUCAUUGGGAGUUUCGGUGGCCUAUAGAGAAGCAUAUUUGACGCAAGUGCUUUUAAGUUAUUAAAAUUCAGACCCCUUAAGUUACGAAAAUUAUUUGCCAAACACCCUAAACAUAUUUUUAGAACUUAGAGCUUCUUUUAUAUAUAUAUAUAUAUAUAUAUCUUAAUUAUUCAAGAGCUGGACUUAAUCCUUCUCAAAAUCAUUACUGAUUUGGGUAUUGUGGCGUUUAUACAACGAUAUAAAGCUCUGUCUCUUUCUAUAGGUCUCAUCCAAUCAAGAAACAGGCUAUCAAGAAACAGUCAAUGGCUGCUAUCCAAUCAAUGGUUUGUUUGGAUUGAGACUUAGUUGUCAAAAACUAUAUGCUUGCAUCAUACAAAAGUUCUCUUAUUACCUUUUUAUCAUUCUUUUUUUUUUUUUACCCCACUUACAUUUUAUCACAAGAAGUACUAUAAUAAAAUGUUAUGCUCAAAAUUUUUUUUUAAAUAAUCAUCUAUCCAAAACUAUAUCCAGCUAGCCUACUUCUGUACACAAGUUUUUGUGGGACAUAAGUAUUUAUGGCAGCCUUGAUGAUCGAGCACUUUAGUUAAACCUUUCAUUAGGAAUGACUAAUUACAAUUUAGCACGUAACAAACUCUUAGAAAUACACAAGUAUUUGUGGGAUAUAAGUUUCUAUGGGAGCCUGUCUAGAUGAUUGAUCACUUUAGUUAAUUAAACCCUUUCAUUAGGAAUGACUAAUUACUAUUAGGCAUUUUAACAAACUCGUCUGACACCUAAAUUAUCGACUACGCCACGGUGAAACUUUAGCUGUAUCAUGUCAUAAUAAUGAUCAAUUUCUUAAGACACCGUAUGGAAAGAAAAAUUAAAAGUCAAUCCAAACAAGAAAAAUUGAAUCCCUCCAAUUCUUCUCAUUUCCUUUUCCUCUCAUUCCUUCAAUCCAACGGUGCCUAAGUGAAGCAACACAUGAAGGAUUUAGGUAUAACUAAAAGCAGUUAAGCUUUGAAAAUAUUUUAGGACUGAAAACGUUGCUUAUAAAUUCUACGUGCGGGUUCCCUAUGCUGCUCAUCAGACAAGAAACACUUAGCAGUACAAAAACCAAACUUCGUUCUACUUCUGCAGCGUUCGUUGAAAAUGGUUUCCAACAUCAAUGCUUCGUUUUCUCUCCUACUUUUGACCAUUUUCUUCCUUGCUUUAGUCAUGGGAAAUUCUCCCCCUGACAAUCCAAAUCCAGCACCCGCGCCAAGCUCCAACACUCCAGCACCCGGACUUUCACCAGCUCCUUCAGGAUGUACCUGCCCAUUGGAUCGCCCAACACUGGUUGCCUGUUCAAUUUUUCUUGGUAGUCUGGGUACUGGAAUGCCUUGGAUCACACCAACCAUCUGUUGCAGAGGAUUACGACGUCUAAAUGCGACAGAUGUUUCUUCUUGUCUUUGCUAUGCGAUCAAGUCUGGUGUCACCGGGCAACCCAUAGUUAAUCUUACCCUCAAAGAAGCCAUCCAAAUGGUGUCAUUCGGAUGCAGGUUUUAAUUAGGACUCUUUCGCUGUGCUAAGCAGCUAGUAUUUAAGGGUAGAUUUCUAAAUAAGAUGCAUUGGAAGAUUAUACCAUACGUGCUUUGCUACUUAAGUACGCACGUUUAAGGGCUCUUCCAUUAAGCUAAACAUGAGCUAUAGCACUUAUAUAUGGAUGGAUUUCUAAUUAAGUACGAUUUCAUAUUUCUAAAUAAGAAUGUAUUGGAAGAUUAUAUUAUUCGUGCUUUAUUUCUUUUUUCAGCUCUAUGUUGUGUUAUGCCAAGAUUUCGUACUCAAUGCUGUCAUAUUUUGUUUGACUGGAAAAUUUUAAGAUUUGCUGAAUCAGGAUCAGGCUUCGUUUAUAAUAACCCUAAUAUCGAUGACCAGGAGUAGGGCAGCAACAGUCCUUUUAAGGUCAAGGGCAAGGAUUGGCCAAAAAAAAAAAAAAAAAGGCUAAGAUUACAUCAUGUACAAGUUAUGUUAUAUGUGGAAGCCACUAAAAUUUGCUCAAAAUAAUUUAUUUUUUGAAGAAAUAAAUGUACAUUUUAUUAAAAUAGAGAAAACUGUUGCAGGAUGAUUGAAUUAAUAACCGUCCUAGUUUUGUGUUCUCAAUCACCACUGGUAGUUCGACUGCACUAUAUAUGAAAAAUUUUUGUUAGAGUAUUGUACACCGAAAUAAUUACCCCCCCUCUAAUAUUGGUUCCUAGCACCACGACUGACUCAUGUUUAAGAGUAAAUUAGCUCAAGUAGACAUACUUACUGAAUCUAAAAGCACAUAGUGAACAUUUGGGCUUUAAUUCAUGAUUAAAUUUUAGAAUUUUUUAAGUGGUGAAUGGUGAAAUGCGAGACAAUAUUGAAAUUUUAUCAGUAGAAAAAAAAAUACCAUUAAACCUUUAAACUAAAUAGUUUGUUGGAUGACUUGUUAUUUGUAAAAAAAAAAAUUAUUUGAUUGUAUUAUAAACACUUUUUGUAACUAUUUUUUAUUUUUCAAAUCACCUCUUUAUCUAACAUACAUUAUAUCACAAAAAGUACUAUAAUAUUUUUCAAAAAAUUAUCCUAAAUAAUCCCCCGUCAAAAACACUCAUUUCCAUUUUUCGUGUGUUGAUGGUGAACUUUUCACCACCUGCAAAUAGUCGAAUGCAUAAUGAUGUAGUAAUAUGAAAUUAUAGUUUGCUAGAAAAAGUUUUGAGAUAGGAUUCAUUUAAGCAUACAGUAAACUAAAUAAGUUACAUGCAAGACCUUUUACGUAGCAUUUGGUAUCGCUAUUAAAAACAAAGAAGUAUGGAAAUUCGAUCCUUUUGUAAAGAAAGAAAACAGACUUACAGGUUAGCAAUUUACUAAACAUACUUCAUUUCUUGUACUUCUCGAUUGUUUAAAAUACUGAUAAUCCCCGACUCAGAAAUCCGGAUAGUUCCCUGCUCUUAUUUAGGAUAUAUUGAUUUUGGAACGUCUCAUAUGUUUAUUUUGGGCAUUGUUUUACCAGAUAAGGAAUGGUGCUGUUUUUUGUAGAACCCAAAAAUAUAUAGGAGAUAUAUUACAUAAAAUUAAUGUAUAUGGGGAUGCAAUUUACACACAUAAUAAUAUAUGUGGGAGAAGAGAAAUAAUACCAACAAUAAUUUAUUAAUCACAUAAUAAAAAUAAGACUCUUAAUUAUUCAUUCUUCUUAACUAAAUACAAUAAUAUGACUCUCUAUUUAUCAACUAGAUGACUUGAUAAAUAAGUCUUACAGCUAUAAGAAAUUUCUUAAUAAGAUACUAAUUCCUUAACAAUAAAAAUACCAUAACUUAACUCCAAUAUAAUUACUAAAAUCCUAACUUGACUAAAUUAAUACUACUAAAUAAUAAAAUGAAAAUUUCUAAUUUUGAGUUUUGAUUUAAUAUGCCAACAUUUUUGGUUCACUGGGAUCAAAAUCAUAAUCAAUGUUAUUUUUUUUAUUUAAGGCCUUAAUUUUUGGAAAAGCAAGUGCCAAUGGGCAAUUAAUUAGACUGGAAAUUUCGCUUUAGUUUGUUCACUUUCCUAUGGCUGCUUUUACUUUGAAUAUGUAAAAUAAUCCCAAUUCAAUUGACCAAAACCCUCUAAAUUAACUAAUAAAGAUUUUAGAACUGUCCACUCAACACUAUUUUAGCAUCAGCCUCUGAAUCAUUACCCAUCCACACAUGACAUAUGGCUCAAACCAUCAUAAAAUUCUGCCAUGCCAUUGCCCUUUUCUUUGCUCAUUUAACAUUAAAGUAUUUAACAACACUCAAUCAGAUUCUUUAAAACUUUGUUUGGAUUGAGGAAUUUGAUGAAAAAUUUAAAAUUCAUCCAAAUCACUCUAAUUGUUUAGAAUGUUUAAGAGACAUUUAGAUUUGUAAUUCACUAAUUAUUUGGAUAUAUUUUAAAUAUUAGAAUAAUAGGUGAUUUAUAAAUUUAAAUACCUCUUAAAUAAUUUACAUAACUGAAAAGAUUCAGAGAAUUUCGAAUCAUUUGUCAUUGGAUUUGGUUGUUUAGUUUUACCAGUUGAGUCCUAGAAUUUGGUUCAAACCACACGCAAAUAUAGUCCAAAAUUCGCUAAACAAUCAUUAAAACUUGGUCAUCUGUUAAAUAACAAAGAUUAUAAAGAAGCAGAGAACAAAAAUUUGGCACCCUCAUUUUGUGGAAAUUGCUUAAAACAUCUGGCAUUCGGAAAAUAGUUUGGCAACUUAGGACUACCUAAUCAUUUUGUCACCUAGAUUUUUCAACUUUUCAUUAUUUGAAGUACUUAGUAUGUUUGAUGAAACUCUUAUAAGCUCAUAUGUCAAAAAUCAACAAUUGAAACAUCAAUUCUAAUGAAACACGAAACGUAUCAAAAGCUUGCGAGCAUUGAAGUUCUUUAGGGUUACGUAAUCAUCUAGAUCUUUUGAUUUGGAACGUUUAAUUAAUUGAAGCUAGUAUAUAAGACAAAUUGCUAAAGUCAAAUCAAUGACUAGAACUUCAUUUCUGUGGAAAACAAAAAUGAAAUUCUUCAAUUUUAGGCGGCUUGGAGUUUUGCUCUACUGCCAGAAAACUCUAACGCAUAUAAACUAGCAUUUUUUAGGAUAGGAUUUAAGAAAUGGAGAGAAUAAAGGAGGAUCUGAACUUAUUUAAAAUCUCUAUUCUCAACAUUAUUCAUUAAAUCAAGAUCUCUUUUCGUCCAAAUAAACUAACUUCUUAUGACAGAUCGAUUGCUAAUUAUAUUUCUUAUAUUUGAGCAAGCAAAUAAAUUAAUCUUUCCUACAUUAUCAGCGUUAGAUGAUUGACAACUACGCAAAAUUUGAAUUUGAAAAUCAACUUUUGCACAUAUGUCAUGAAUCCAACGAUGAUAGUGUAUACACCGUCAGUGUAGAAAAGAUUUACUCAUAAAUUAAUCCACUAAAAAAAAAAGAAAGAGAACGUAAAUUGAACAUAUAGUUGCUAUUCUUUUUAUUUAUUUUAUUUUACUUCACCUUUUUUUUUUCUUUUAUACUUCAAAAAGAAAAAAACAUGUACAUGAGAAGAAGAUUUCAUGUUACUUUUGGAUAUGAACUAGCACGAUGAGGGUUUACGUUUGGAACUCCGAAUCAUUUCAGAGAUGAUAAAAUGGUCCACUUAGGACUGCUUCAUGAUGAGUAGGGAGGGACUUUCAUUCUAAAUCUGCUUUUGUUAUGCAAUGGCAUUAUGUAGUUGUAAUGAUUAAAUGCGUAUAACGCAUGAAACAUGACUCUAUUUAUCAUUCGUACCAAUUGUUUGUCCUAGCUAGAUGCAAACCCAAGAAAGGAGGAUGACAAAAUUUGAUUUUUUUUUUUCAAUUAUGAUACAACUAUUUUUUAACCUUCAAUUUGUUUCUGGUAGGCUUUACAACUAUUUUUUAACCUUCAAUUAAGAUAGUCAUUGAGAUUUUAUGUUGAGUUUUUCGUGCAUUUAUCAACUAAUAGUUGUCAAUUUUACAUAACUGAUCAAACUAACAAAAAUUCCAUAUGUUAGAAACCAAAGCUGAAAUUCUUUAAACUAAAUAGUUUGAGACUUCCAUGACUAGUUUUCUAGCAUGAGUUUUCUUUUCCCUAAUCAUAAUCAGACCAACUGUAAUUGAUGUCACUUCAUGAUGACCAUUCUGGUUCAUUUUUCUUAAUUUUUUUUUUAAAUGGGUCUAUAGUCUAGGCACCAUGCCCCUUGCCUUUCCAGGUCAUGAUGGAAAUAUAUGCAAAAAGUUUAGGUCAACGACAAGAGGGGAAAAAAAAAAAGGGAAACAAAGAAUUGAUGCUCUUUUCUAUUAUAUUUCUCAUGGCUAAUGGAGCUUUCAUUUUAUGAGUCAAAGCGCAAAGCUCUCCUGUUUUCAACAGAUGACUCUGC